GGAAACUGAGACUUCAGAGAGAGGGAAGCCGUGAUUGAGAUGGAAGAGAAAGACUGAUACAGGAAGCUGGCAGGAAAUGUGGGGGAAGAGAUUGUGGGGGGAAAGGAGUGAUGGAGAGACAGGAGAAGAAACACCAGGAAGGAAGAACAAGAGGAAGAAGAGGAGCAAGAGAGAGAACAGAAAAAGAGGUCCACGUGGGAAGGAAGGUUUGGAGCUCCCUAUGGUCUCAAAUGUAGUAUGGAGGAGCAGGUCAUCAGAGGCAGGCAGAAGGUAAGAGGACCUCAGUGGAUAGCCGGAUGUGAUGGGAGACAAGCAUGGGAAGGGGGAAGACAGGAUUAGAGGUAUCUAUAGGGGAAGAGUGGAGGGAUAAAUUGUAGACAGAGGUUCAGGCUGGGUCUUAAAUGUUGGAAACAAGAUGUUCCUAUCUUCUUACAGAGAUCUGAGGACUGGGUGACAUCAGUCUUAUAAAUGGUGGCAAGUUGCAGCUUGCUGUGACUUCCUCCUGGAAACCUUUCAAUCCAUCCUGAUGCCCCAUUCUGUCUUUCCAGACCCAUUCAGAUCUGCAUUGUUGCCUUCUUUCAAUUGCCUGGUCUCUUCUCCUAAGUUCUGUGAGCUCCUGGAUGGGAGGAGCCGUCCUACUUAUUCUUGAUUUCCCAAAGCAUAAUCAGGACUAGACACACAGUGGGGAUUCCCAGCGACUGAGGAUGGAUUCCUGGUGAUUG